UGGAUAACCCCGGGAAACUGGGGCUAAUUCUCGAUAGGUGAAGAACUCUGGAAUGAGUCUUUGCCCAAAAGUUGUCAGGGUUAUGCUCUCUGAUAACGCCCAAGGAUGAGGCCGCGACCGAUCAGGUUGUUGGUGAGGUAAUGGCUCACCAAGCCUUUUACCGGUGCGGGCCGUGAGAGCGGGAGCCCGGAGAUGGGCACUGAGACAAGGGCCCAGGCCCUACGGGGCGCAGCAGUCGCGAAAACUUUGCAAUACACGAAAGUGUGACAGGGCUAUCCCGAGUGCCAUCCGCUGAGGAAGGCUUUUACCCAGUCUAGAACGCUGGGGGAAUAAGGAGAGGGCAAGUCUGGUGUCAGCCGCCGCGGUAAUACCAGCUCUCCGAGUGGUGUGGAUGUUUAUUGGGCCUAAAGCAUCCGUAGCUGGCUAAGUUAGUCCCUUGUUAAAUCCACCGAAUUAAUCGUUGGAUUGCGGGGGAUACUGCUUGGCUAGGGGACGAGAGAAGCAGACGGUAUUUCCGGGGUAGGGGUGAAAUCCUAUAAUCCCGGGAAAACCACCAGUGGCGAAGGCUGUCUGCUAGAACNCGCCCGACGGUGAGGGAUGAAAGCUGGGGGAGCAAACCGGAUUAGAUACCCGGGUAGUCCCAGCUGUAAACGAUGCAGGCUANGUGUUUGGACGGCCACCUGCCGUUCUAGUGCCGCAGGGGAAGCUGUUAAGCCUGCCGCCUGGGGAGUACUAUCGCAAGAUUGAAACUUAAAGGAAUUGCGGGGGGAGCAC
rnacentral:rRNA from 1 species